rnacentral:rRNA from 1 species
UACAGAGGUCUCGAGCGUUGUUCGGAUUCAUUGGGCGUAAAGGGUGCGUAGGUGGCGCUGUAAGUCGGGUGUGAAAUCCUGAGGCUUAACCUCGGAACUGCAUUCGAUACUGCGGUGCUUGAGGACUGGAGAGGAGACUGGAAAUUCAUGGUGUAGCAGUGAAAUGCGUAGAGAUCAUGAGGAAGACCAGUGGCGAAGGCGGGUCUCUGGACAGUUCCUGACACUGAGGCACGAAGGCCAGGGGAGCAAACAGG